CCUACGGGAGGCAGCAGCCAAGAAUAUUCCGCAAUGGGGGAAACCCUGACGGACCGACACUGCCUGAAUGAAGAAGGCCUUUGGGUUGUAAAGUUCUUUUUUAAGGGAAGAAUAAGUUGGGUAGGAAAUGACCUAAAGAUGGCGGUUCCUUACGAAUAAGUCCCGGGUAAUUACGUGCCAGCCGCCGCGGUAAUACGUAAGGGACCAGCGUUAUUCGGAANUUCUGGGGGUAAAAGGGGUGUANGCGGUGAAUUA
rnacentral:rRNA from 1 species